UCUCCAUCCAGCUGGAUCACUGUCACAGGUGAGGAGCUUCAUUUUAAUUUCACCGUUUUUUCCCCAUCAACAUAUUCACCUGAGCAGGUGGGAUUCUCUCUGCAGGUAUGCCUACAACCACAACCACGCUCAGCAAGUCUCAAACUCCGCCCACUUCCUCAGCUCCACCCCUUGACCCCUCCAUCCUCCAGGCUGUGCACAUACAGUUCUUCCACGUGGUGGGGUUUUGUCUGUACUUCAUCUGCACUCUCCUCAUGAUAUCUUUGUACUGGCACAGAACCACAGGAAAUAAUAUGACCAUCUCCACGGCAGCAGCAGCUCCACCCAUCCAGGCUGAGCAGAGAUUUGCUCACAACUGACAUGAAGUUCCUGCUCCAUCAGUCAGACGGAGGUUAUCUCAUUCUCUCAUUCACACCAGUGUAAAUGCUGAAUGUGGCUCUUACUGAUGAAUCAGCUUGUUCAGAUGACGGCACAUAAUGUGACGGAGCGUCCAGGGAGGGCGAGGCUGCAGGAACCGGACAGGAACCUGAACACAAACUACCACAGAACCUUUUUCUCUGUGGCACAGAACCAGCACAGCCCCGGCUGUAAAUGCUGAUGCUGCAGUCGCUCUGUGUUUGUAGGUGACAGGUAGCAGUGGGACUUUCUGCCUGUGGCUAACACCUCUGUAGCUGCCACGCUUCCUGUUUCCUGUCAGUGAACGUGAAGCUGCAGGUGUUUAAUCUAAAACUGUCUGACUCUCUGCAGCAAACAGUUUCUUUAUGAUUCUGUUACAAACUUCCUUCACCUUAAAAGCUCCCUUCAUUCAGAAUAAAAUGUGGAUUUCAUUGUGGUAAAAUCUGUUUUUCUGCUGUUUCUUCUGUGACAU